rnacentral:lncRNA from 1 species
UGGGGUGGGAGGGGUGGAGAGGGCAAAUUUAGAAGGGGACAAAGACACCCGGGACUCCUUCCUCCAAGUGAGAGCUGGAGAAAAGAGUGACUACAGAAGCCAGCUAAUGAGGAUUCCCCUGUCAAUGAGAUAGUCAAGAUCCUUUCUGGAAUGUCCCUGCCUGCAGGCCCCAAGGAGCCUCCUAGACGAAUUUGAGGAGGAAAUGAGGUGCAGAGUGUGGGGGGACACGAGGGUGGGGGUGGGGGUGGUGGAGGAGGGUGAGAGGGGAGGGAAGCUCGCUCCAGCUCUGUCUGGAAGGGUCUGAUAAAUUAGCUCCUCUGUUCACAGGAAGGAGGAGGAGCAAGAAGAGGAGGAGGAGGAGGAGUCGGGGGAGAAGGAAGAGGCUGCAGUGCCUGAGAGCAGCGGUGUUUCCUGUCCCCAGGGGACAUUCCCUCUCCACUCCCUGCUUGUUGAUGCCUCUACUGGAGUGAGAGGACCUCCCUUACAUCGUGGUCUGGAGAGCUAGCUCGUCUGUGUUGUAAUUCAAGGCUCCUUUAUAGAGAACCCAGAGGAUAUGAGUGGGGUCGGUGGGAGAGCAUCUACGAGAGGAUGCUGCUGUUUCACCAAAAAGGUCCUGCAUGCAUCUAAAAUACGGAUGUUUAAAAAAGCAUAAAAUGGUAAGAUGGAAUAACACGACUUGAUUGGUUUGGCUCUAGUCACGCUGGGGCAAAGGGAACAGAUGUGUGAGGCCUGGUUUAGAUUGAUAGAUUAUCCCACAGGCCUUUAAUCUGCCACAACUGUCUUCAAAAAGAAUCUUUUAGUUGUAAAGGUUGGGGAAAGUGAGGCUAUUAGAAUUUCACCUCUUAUGUCUUCCCCCAGCCAGAAAUAGCCGAAGAGCACUCCGACAUUGGGGGAAGCGUCAGGUGCCCGUGGAACUCAUUGCCUUGGCCGUGAGACUUCAGCAGGUGACUGAUGAGAAGGAAGUGAAGGCGUGUCUGCCUUGGUCUGCACCUCGCACAGCGAGCACCAGCCUGGGGAUAAGGGGGCAACACGGAACAAGGGGCACAGGGAAGACUGGCUUCUGCCUUUCUGUUUGACGUCUGAUCUUGCCUUUGGAGCCAGAUGUCCUGAUGAAGGAAUAAACGAAGAUUGGGAAAUAGCCA